rnacentral:rRNA from 1 species
UGCAGUCGANCGGCAGCACGGAGCUUGCUCUGGUGGCGAGUGGCGAACGGGUGAGUAAUGCGUCGGAACGUAUCCAAUAAUGGGGGAUAACGCAGCGAAAGCUGUGCUAAUACCGCAUACGCCCUCCGGGGGAAAGCAGGGGAUCGUAAGACCUUGCGUUAAUGGAGCGGCCGACGUCUGAUUAGCUAGUUGGUAGGGUAAAGGCCUACCAAGGCGACGAUCAGUAGCUGGUCUGAGAGGAUGAUCAGCCACACUGGGACUGAGACACGGCCCAGACUCCUACGGGAGGCAGCAGUGGGAAUUUUGGACAAUGGGCGCAAGCCUGAUCCAGCCAUUCCGCGUGAGUGAAGAAGGCCUUCGGGUUGUAAAGCUCUUUCAGGAGGGAAGAAACGAUUGUGGCUAAUACCCAUGAUUAAUGACGGUACCUUCAGAAGAAGCACCGGCUAACUACGUGCCAGCAGCCGCGGUAAUACGUAGGGUGCGAGCGUUAAUCGGAAUUACUGGGCGUAAAGCGUGCGCAGGCGGUUUUUCAAGUCUGAUGUGAAAUCCCCGGGCUUAACCUGGGAACUGCGUUGGAAACUGAAAGACUAGAGUGCGGCAGAGGGGGGUAGAAUUCCACGUGUAGCAGUGAAAUGCGUAGAUAUGUGGAGGAAUACCGAUGGCGAAGGCAGCCCCCUGGGUCGACACUGACGCUCAUGCACGAAAGCGUGGGUAGCAAACAGGAUUAGAUACCCUGGUAGUCCACGCCCUAAACGAUGUCAACUAGUUGUUGGGGGAGGGAGACCUCCUUAGUAACGCAGCUAACGCGUGAAGUUGACCGCCUGGGGAGUACGGUCGCAAGAUUAAAACUCAAAGGAAUUGACGGGGGCCCGCACAAGCGGUGGAUUNNUGNGGAUUAAUUCGAUGCANCGCGAAAAANCUUACCUANCCCUU